UUUUGGAAGAAUGAAUUCCUGCACAGCCCUAAGCGGCUAGUAUCUUCAAGAGUUUCAAUUGUUCCAUGAAAUGUUUGGCCCUCAAGGCCAGGCUGUUCAUCAGUGCUGUUCAUCUCCCUUUCCAUGGUGCCCUAUGCAAAAUACAAUCGUUCCCUUAAGUGAUGGUUAAUGGUGAAGCCAAGAACAUGCUCAAGGGACCAGGGAUGUAGCUCAGUGGCACCACACCUGCCGUGCAAGCGCACGGUCUAGAGUUUGAUCCCAGGUACUGAAAACAAAACAAAACAAAACAAGAACAUGUUCAAGGGUUCCUGACCUAGACUCCGGCAAAAGUAGAAGGCAGGAAUGUAGAAAGAUAAAUUAGGCAUGAGUCCCAUCCUUAAUCUGAUCUCUUGAAGAUAAUGCUUUUGGUCAAGUCUCUAAAAAUAUUCAUGUGUAUGUUUUUAACUUGGUGAUAAAUGUAAAUAGGAGUCUGAGAAAAAGUCUGCUUAACCUUUCAGACUUAGGUACUCCUUUGCUGCAUAGUUUAAAAUGACAAAGAAUGGAAAUUUACAAGAAUAUUGCAGGCACUCUGCCUCCCAUACUCUCUAGCCAGGCAACAAAAUAGUGCUCCAGAGAGAUUCCAGGUGAGUAUUUAGUAUUCUGUUUAUGAUACUAAAGGGAGCUUUUAAGUAGAAUAUGUUCUCAAGCUAAAAAAUAUGGGCUUAAAUAACUAGUUUAAGAUGUUAAAAUAGCCUUUGGAACUUGGACUCAGAUUUAACAGACCAAUUGUUUAGAAAAACUUUAAAAAUAAACCAUAGCACUUUGAAAGUAUUUGAAUAUAUUAUGAUAUUAUGGACUGAAAAACUAGUUUCAGGGAUAAAAAAAUUUUACUUGCAUCAAGAGGUUUUGAAUUCUUUUCAAGGGUGUUCACCGGAAAAUGAAGGUAUUCAGAAUGACAACGAUUGAUGAUUAAGCCAGAAAAUUCCCUGUCCAUUGGUCUAUGUAGCCCAGGCUGGCCUUGAAUUCAUGCAAUCCUCUUGCCUCAGCUCCCGAGUGCUGGGAUCACAGGCGUGUACCAUCAUGUCUGGCUCAAGGCAUCUAAUUUGUAAAGGGAUACUGGAUUAACAAAACAUUAUAUGCAAAA